UGGGUAGUUUAGAGGGGUGAGUAAGCAUUCUAAAAUAGAGAAUGCAAUGAUGGGGUUAGAGAGAGUAUUUCUAACUCUCACAGAAGAACUAAAGGAGAGCGAGAAGUUUUGGAAAAGGGAAAAGUAGGAAAACGGAAAAAAGGGAGAUGAGAGAGUGCCUGGUGUGUUCUUCAAUUGGUACAAAAGGCCUGGGAGUGACUCCGGACACUUCGGAGGCUUAGAGAGGUAUUCUAGUUAGCUGGACACGAGGUACCAGUAUGAAGGAACAUGAGGAUGACCUGUCUCUAAAUGAAUAGCCAUAUCAUAUGUGUGUUGGUUCCUAGUUGUAAUUAAAAUAAAGUGUCUUAGUAUCUUAAGAGUGUGUGGUAAGAGUACUAAAGAUGUAUUAAAUAAACAGAUCUAAAUGAACUUUUAGAUGGCUCUGGUUCCAUCAUAAUUUUGUUGUAAUAUUUCAAUUUUGUUUUACU
rnacentral:sRNA from 1 species